rnacentral:rRNA from 1 species
AGUGGGGAAUAUUGGGCAAUGGAGGCAACUCUGACCCAGCAACGCCGCGUGAGGGAAGAAGGUUUUCGGAUUGUAAACCUCUGUCCCAGGGGACGAAGAAAGUGACGGUACCCUAGGAGGAAGCCCCGGCUAACUACGUGCCAGCAGCCGCGGUAAUACGUAGGGGGCGAGCGUUGUCCGGAAUUACUGGGCGUAAAGGGUGCGUAGGCGGUUUGGUAAGUUAGAUGUGAAAUCCCCGGGCUUAACUCGGGAGUUGCAUUUAAAACUGCUGAACUAGAGUGCAGGAGAGGAAAGCGGAAUUCCUAGUGUAGCGGUGAAAUGCGUAGAUAUUAGGAGGAACACCAGUGGCGAAGGCGGCUUUCUGGACUGUAACUGACGCUGAGGCACGAAAGCGUGGGGAGCGAACAGGAUUAGAUACCCUGGUAGUCCACGCCGUAAACGAUGGAUACUAGGUGUAGGGAUCUAAGAAGGUCUCUGUGCCGCAGCAAACGCAAUAAGUAUCCCGCCUGGGGAGUACGACCGCAAGGUUG